rnacentral:rRNA from 1 species
UACGUAGGGGGCUAGCGUUGUCCGGAAUCAUUGGGCGUAAAGCGCGUGUAGGCGGUCCGGUAAGUCCGCUGUGAAAGUCGGGGGCUCAACCCUCGAAUGCCGGUGGAUACUGUCGGGCUAGAGUGCGGAAGAGGCGAGUGGAAUUCCUGGUGUAGCGGUGAAAUGCGCAGAUAUCAGGAGGAACACCAAUUGCGAAGGCAGCUCGCUGGGAUGUAACUGACGCUGAGACGCGAAAGCGUGGGGAGCAAACAGG